rnacentral:lncRNA from 1 species
UAAAAAUCUGGACAAUUUCAUCCUUCCUUAGAAACAAACAAAAAAAUUAAUCCAAUUGAAAAAAUUAGAUAUGCUGAUGUGUAAUAUAUAAUAAAUGUGCCUCCAUUGCAACCAAAGUUCAAAACAAAUAGUUCUGAUGAAGAUGUUGAAUGAAAGUAGUAAGAGAAAAGUCAUUAGUACAUUUUACUUGGAAAAUAGAGAUUGUGGAAAAUGUUUCAUUAUCAAUCAUUUCGUGAAGAUGGGGAUAUCAAGAAGUAUAGUUUAUAGCAUCAUUGAAAGAGAUGAGAAUGGGAAAAAUCUAGAAAAAAGUGCUGGUUUUGGUCGAAAGCCUAAAAAAGAUGACUGAA